CGAUGCAAUCAGCAUGCUGAUUAAGGUUGCUUGGUUUUUUACUAAACAUUAACUGAAUGAAAACGGUUAGUCCUUGUUGUUCUGCUUGGGGGGCUUUGGUGAAGCAAAUGGACUUUCAGAACAGAGAUUGUCAAUAAAGGCUGGAGCUCAACGCAAACCUAACUAAGGCCUGAUGGUACAUUGUGAUCCACACAGAAAGACUAGUGAGCCUGAACUUAAGUGGUGAACUUUAGUGAGCCUAAUCUUCAGUGGUGCUUCUCGGGGCUUCAGCAAUCCACCCAGUUGAUAGCAACUGCAGGACUGGGACCUAAUAAAAUAAAUGCUGCGUGUCUGUUUUGAUGGCAAAGGGGAUUGAAGGUUUUUCUCUUUCUUUCUUUCUUACUUUCUUUUUCUUAAGAAAUUGGUAACUAUUUCAACUCUGUUUCAUAGCUUAUUCUCUCUCUGCCUCAGGAAAAAAAAAGUUGUUUCACUGGAUCACAUUUAAAGUUAUUUUUCUGUCCAGUCAUGUGAUAUCAGUUGUUUUGCCAGAAAUGCACAACAGGAAUGGAGUUUUCCUUUCUUGAGCCUAGAGAAGAGGUGUCACAUCUGUAUGGCAUGAGAGGUACAUAUUCCCCAGCUUUUCUGGAGUCUGGACUGUGUUGAAAACUAAAUGAGCCAGAUUCUUCUGUGCCAUGUGGUCGCUUUACACAGUGCUGUUUUUGUAAUUUGGUACCUAAUGCAAAGGUGAUCCUCCCAUGGUCUAGAGCCCAUAUAAGAGCUCUUACAUUCCCCCAGUGUGGUCUGUAUAGCAGAGAAAAAGAGCAUUACAGAUGAAAGGGGGUGAGGUCCAGAUGCCCCUGCACCACACUAGUCCUUGGAUUCAUUUUGGCCCCUUGGGGGUAUUGCAGCAUGGUAAGUUAUACAGCCCUACACAGAGCUACUGCAGGAUUAGGAGAGGAUAAGCCACUUGUGUACAGCACCUCUUGACCAGCAGUGUGCAAUUUAGCCAUACUCCAUGAUCUGGCCCAUUGAAUUGUUUCUGUUGUUACAGUAUGGCUAACUUCCACAAUUUUAUUAUAAGUCUGAUAAUGUUUGAUUCGUUACUUAAAGCCCCAGUUCCUGGAGACAAGAGAUUGUGUAAGAAUCUCAAGUUUCAUUUAAAAUAAUAUAGCCCUCACGGUUGUGGAAAAAAACUUGAAAAUGUGACCUGAUUGCAUUCUAAAGGCUCAGACACUUGAAGGCAAAUAAACAGAACUCAACAUUUAUUACUUUGUAAAAUCUCAUAACAUUUAAGCCAAUCUUAUGAUUUUAGGGUAUCUGAUUCAUGAUUGUUGAAGCUACAGGGCUGGCAAUAUCGAGAAACAACUCUCCCCUUCCCAGAUCUGCCAACUCUUCAGUUUUCCUCAUAGACUAGGGUGGGGGUAGUCAAUUAUUUUUUGUCAAGGUCCACAUUUCUUGGUUAAAGGUAUAGUGUCAAGGUUCAGAGAAAAUAAUAAUAAUAAUAAUAAUAAAAACAAUGAUAAUAAGUAAAUUAAAAGAUUUUGGGGUCCAUUCAAAAGCAUGUGGCAGUCCGGAUUUGGCCCACGGUUCACCUGUUGACUACCUGGUGGACUAGAGGUUUUCAGAUCUCCUACAGUUUUAUGAGAAAAACCCAUCAAUUGAUGGGAUCUGAAGAGACUGCCAAUGAUUUGAGUGCCUUCCCAAUGGCCCUGCCUCCUGGGAAAUGCGACCAAUCAGAUGUGGCAGCCAGAGCUCUUCCCCCAUCCCCUUCCUCACCUCAGGAACCCACAGGGAUUUUUCUGUAGAGGAGGGGGGAGAGGAAGCAGAAAAAGCCCAGAAGAUCAGGGCAGCUCUACUCUCUCCUUCCCCUCCCCUCCUGUGAACAAUAACUCAGCACACCUCUGCUCCUCCCCACUUCCCUGUUCUCCUCCCUGUCACUCCAGGUGUGGGAGAAGGGAGGGGGGUUAAAAGCCCAUGGAACUUGCCCCCCAGCCUGGGAGUGGGGGUGAAAAACCCCUGUACAUCUCCCCCCAGGCCAAAACUAAUUGAUUUGGGGUCUGGUUUACAGAUGGGCAGGGAGGUGCACCAUUCAUUUGGGGCUGGGAGCUCAAAACUGGUGUGGGGCUGAUGAGAUGGGCUGGGAAGUAUAUAAUUAAUUGAUAUAGGGAUGGUAUGGGUGCAAAAUGAACUGAUGUGGGGUUGGGGAACAGAUAGAGAUGAGGCUGGAGUGGCACAGAAAUUGUUAUUUGUGGGUUGAGGAGAAGUGAGAACCCUUUGCAUUGUCCAGCAGAGAUUUAUUCACAUUAGCUUAAUUUACACAAAGUUGUGUACUUUAUGCAAAUUAAAAUCUACUCUUUGUCAUGAGGCAUUGGCAGGUGUGCCUUUAGCUUCAUCCUACCACCAUGGCUAAGUUUUAGCCUCCUCGGUCCAGAUUGUCAAUGGAGCUCAGCUACUUUUAGCCCCCAAAAUAGGCAGCCAGAUUUUCAAAUGUUCUUUUUUAAAAAUGCAGCCAAAAGCAGCACAGUGGGACGUGACUGGUGCUGAGCUCUUUUGAAAAUCUGGCUCCAGCUGUGGGUAUUGAGCACUUGAAAAUCUGUCCACGAGCUGUUUUGAAAAUACGGCCCUAAAUCCAGCAUACAACUGCAGGGAUUCAGAUAUCUGGUGCUUCCCACAUUCAUAGGCAUUUAGGAUUGCCUUGCAUACCUAAACAAAGCUCCACAAGAGUUGAUGUGGUGUCUGUACCUUGGUAUGUAGUGUCUUUUUGCUUGUGUGUGUGUUUGUACUGCCCCUUCAAAUCCCUCUCCCUGCUUCCAUUGUGUGUACAGUGCAGAGUUGACACACACUGUAUGCUCUUUCAUGGAGAUUUUACUUUUGUUCUUUCUUGUUUGUUCUUUAAAUCUAAAAAAAAAAAAGAGCUUGAAGC